rnacentral:rRNA from 1 species
AUACGUAGGGAGCGAGCGUUGUCCGGAUUUACUGGGUGUAAAGGGUGCGUAGGCGGGACUGCAAGUCAGACGUGAAAUACCGAGGCUUAACCUCGGGGCUGCGUUUGAAACUGUAGUUCUUGAGUGAAGUAGAGGCAGGCGGAAUUCCUAGUGUAGCGGUGAAAUGCGUAGAUAUUAGGAGGAACACCAGUGGCGAAGGCGACUUACUGGACUGAAACUGACGCUGAGGCUCGAAAGCGUGGGGAGC